GAUGAACGCUGGCGGCGUGCCUAAUACAUGCAAGUCGAGCGAACAGACGAGGAGCUUGCUCCUCUGACGUUAGCGGCGGACGGGUGAGUAACACGUGGAUAACCUACCUAUAAGACUGGGAUAACUUCGGGAAACCGGAGCUAAUACCGGAUAAUAUAUUGAACCGCAUGGUUCAAUAGUGAAAGACGGUUUUGCUGUCACUUAUAGAUGGAUCCGCGCCGCAUUAGCUAGUUGGUAAGGUAACGCCUUACCAAGGCGACGAUGCGUAGCCGACCUGAGAGGGUGAUCGGCCACACUGGAACUGAGACACGGUCCAGACUCCUACGGGAGGCAGCAGUAGGGAAUCUUCCGCAAUGGGCGAAAGCCUGACGGAGCAACGCCGCGUGAGUGAUGAAGGUCUUCGGAUCGUAAAACUCUGUUAUUAGGGAAGAACAAAUGUGUAAGUAACUAUGCACGUCUUGACGGUACCUAAUCAGAAAGCCACGGCUAACUACGUG
rnacentral:rRNA from 1 species